GGGGGUUGUUUGACACCAGGCGUCGCCCCGCUCCACUACGCCGCAUCUUUCAUGGCAAAUAAAAAAUAUUUAUAGCGCGUUGUCGGUCGUAUGGUUCCGCAUAUGGUAUUUAGAAGCAACAAAGUCUCUAGUCACAUCACCGGCAUAUCAUGCUUGUCUACUGCUUUACAGUACCUUUAAGUUACGACUUCGUCGUGUUCACAGGUGCACCGGUGAUGUGACCGAAUUACGCAACGUCGCGCUGGAAGAGGUACAAGAACGUACAAAAGGAGGCCAGAGAGUUGUUGCAACAAAUUGAAGAUGGCCAGGGCAUUUUUUUUUUAAAUCUCAUCUCCAGCAUUCGUGAAGAAAGUGGUGUUAUUAUAUACAUUAUAUAUUAUAUAUGGUAUAUACUAUAUACUAUAAACACUCAUAUAUCUAAGUAUAUAAAUAAAGUCCCUUAGACCCGGUCCUCUUUAAUUUUACAGUGUAAUAUAUGUGUUGCUAAGGGCAAAACGACACUCGUUGAACACCUUGUAUGUGGUCUCCUUCCUCUACCGCAGGUUGACUUUCUGGCAUGCAUUGGACGAGCAACACUACCUUCUUCAGUUAUCCUCAUCAUGAAAUGCUUAUUGACCAAUGACCUUGCCUUAAAACACAGCCUCAGGGGUCUGCAGAAGAAAAAGGCUUUCCAGCAACUCGCCCUUCGUGGAUGUGUUGUUAUGGAGGCAGUGAAACGGUGCUAGAGAAGGUGAAAUUGGACGACGCAUAGGAAAGCUAGCUGAAGAAAGAAGCUGAAAGUUAGGCGGAAAAGAGGAGAGAUAAAAGAGGGUGGGGCCAGAGGACGGACGAUUGAUAGUCAGAUACCAAGUACACACAUCUAUGGAGGAGCACUGUCAGGCAUGCGUGCUGUUUUGUAAUAUUUUGUACCUGCAAUACGUUGACCUUUAUGUCUGUGAUGCUUUAAAACAUAGUAUUAAACAGUCAUACUGAUA